AUCCUGCUUACUAUAACAUGUCAUCGCACAGUCGAUUCACUCACAAUUACUCUCUGCUAUGAAGUCAUUUGGGAGACGCUUUUAUUCCAUGAAACUUGAUGUGAACUCAGAUGUGAAUCCAGAUACUGGUCAUGGUCUGAAACAGGUCAGGGGUUAGGAUUGCUUUUGUUUACCGAUAGGAUGAAAGAGACCUUUGAGGUUGAACUGGGGAGUCUGAAAACCCUAGCUAGCCCAGUUACUAGACUAUGCCGGACCAAAGGCUUUUUAUCUUCUGGGGAGGUGACAAUUGUUAGUUGUACUUAUUACUUAAUAAUAAUACUUUUUAAGGAGUGACAUGUGACACAUACAAUCAUGCUUGACAUCCGUUAGACGUGUGUUAGUGACCGUUGUCCAAACACAAAGUUACAAGGGAGAUUUCGAAUGAAAGACUGAGGCUGACCAAAAUGUUGGGAGUGAAGCGGUAAAAUACCAUUACACUGUAAAAAAAACCUUAGUUACAUAAUAUUCGUCGUUAUAUUAGAAAAUGAUGGGUGGGUGAUUGCACAAAAAUAGUCCCCUCAACACACUUACUAAAACUGUCCCAAACUACGAACAUAAAGAACAUACUUCCAUAAAAAACUGUUUUAAUUUGAGAGACAGAAUCUAGCCCUAUUUUAAACAUUAUAAAUAUAAAUGACUACUUCAGGCUAAUCUGGGGGUUGCCUGCUGGCUGCAGUUAACAGUUUUUUAGUAUGAAUGUAGGAUAACGUUGGAUAUAUUAGAAGAGUCUUCGGGACAUUUAAUUAAGUUGAUUUCGUAGUGUUUCAUUGAUUGAGUAGUCUCAGACUAUCUGAUUGGUAGUUUCCCCUCGGAUAUGUCUUUAAGGACAUGACCUUUAAUAACUCUUCAAACUUCAAACCAAAUACCUGAUAAGACUUGACUUGAAGUUAUUGCAUUGUUUGAUCUACUGCGCACUGUUAGACAUUGUACGCAUCUAUCUACUUGGUAGCAUCAUUAUAUUUAUCGUUUGUGUCUUAGCAUACUUGGGCAUGGUGGCAGGCCUCUUGGGCGGUUUCUUCUUUAGGGUUUAGUUAUUUCUUAAUCUCUCUUUCUUAUGUUCCCCUGUCGUUUAAUCUAGGGACUGUCAGGUCACAGGUUCACAAUCUUUUUAAUCUGUUCAAAGGGCUUGCUGCAGAGAAAAAUACAUGAACUUUGCCAUUCUCCCUCUCUUUAUUCUGUAACGGAGCUAAUCCCCUGAAAGGAUCAUUAAAAAGGCUUUGCAAAUGUAUAAAAAAAACAACCCUGGUUGGAUCUCUGUACUUCUUCUACAUCACACACGCACGUUACCGAGGCCCCGGGAUUGCGUUUGUGUCGCCGUGUGUGCAUGUGCGCCUGCACCACGCCAGGUGUAACUUAUCUGCCCCGCUGUGUUUGAUUUACUGUGGAUUUCAUAUGUUGCCCCAACCAACCCCUUCACCUUGUGUGCGGAUACUGUCUGUGUGUAUAUUGAGUCUUUCUGUGCGUCUCGGUGAUGGAAUUUGAACACAGCAUUGGCGUCAUUGGGGCCGCCAGACCAGUGCUCAGGUUGUUCUGUUUACCCGGACAUCAGUGUUAGGUAGCUACAAUGUUAGCUAACGCCGAUCGCUAGCUCUGUCCCCACCUUAUGCCACGAACGCCUCAUAUCUGCAUGUGUAUGAAAGUGUAUGGGAAAAACGAGAAGAAAAUUAACAAUAUCGCUGCCUUUUGUUCAGAGAGUCCAAGGAAAGAGGGUUAUAUUAUAUAAAUAUGAAAGUAUGUCUUGGGUGUACUUUUUCGAUAAAAUAUUUAUACUGCUGUACUCCAUUUUUCAUUCCUCCCCUUCACGCAUUUUUCCAUUUGGAGGUCAGUGAGGUACCCCACCUUUGAUAGGUCAGCAGAAAGCACUUUAUUGCGUGUGUAGGUCUUUUAUUGUCGCACAACUUGAAUUGUAAGUCAUUGUGAAGUUGAACCUGUGAAGUGCAGCCAGACGAAGACUUCUGUUGUUUGGGAUCACCCCGGUUGUGUCUCAAUAUUUCCUUUGUGCUCUCCUUGAUUGUGAAAAUAUUGUGCACCAGUUUAUAAAUAUAUAUAUAUUCCAUCGUACUAUUUAAAGAAAAAUUAUGCAUUUAAGUUAUCUUUGUAUUUUAUUUUAUUUUAUUUGACCAAUUAUUUAUCCUAUGUUUUGUCAAUAACUAGUAAUAAGAUGUUAUGUUAGUUAUUAAAAAAAUUAACUGUAGUAAAUGUUACUGUUUGAUGUUAUUCAGGUCCUGUGAAAUAAAGAAGUAAAACGGUAGUUUGAUGAAGUGUGCAUCUAAUUUGAGGAAACAGGUGUGACUGAGUGUGUGUGUGUGCGAGCAAGUUUCUGUGUUCUAUCAGGGCUAUACUAAGUAUUCUGCUACUGGAUAAACAAUGAAACAUUUAAAAUAUCGUGGUUUAUAAUGUACAAGAAAAAAAUAAGGCAAUCCUUACGUUAAAAUAACAAAAGAUGACCAUCCGCUAAAUAUAUUUGAAAAAAAACUACUACUAAUACUACAGAGACAAAUAACCUAGAUCUCAAAGUGACCUCGACCGAGAUGGACUCACCUUAUUGGCUGACAUUAGCCAUGUCAAUCUGUCAAUCAUUAGGUGCCCUUAGCAUGGGUCCUUGGAUGAUGAAAUUGAAUGGGGAGAUGGAAAGAAAUGGUGCAUUGGCUUGGACACAACAUCCUAUUAUUGCGAAGGCACAUUCGAUGGUGGCGGGCUCGGAUGACUCCACAGAGUUAAUCAGUGACACGGGGCAGUGGUCCAUGAACCAAAAUACUAUUGGUAGACAGGUUGCACAGUGGACAGAUGGUUGGUGGGAAUAGGUAGGCAAGACAAAACAAGGGGGAGGGGGGAAAUGUUAGCUUAAAGUUGUCAUACUGUUCCACUGGAGAGCAACAGUUUUCUCAAACAACAUCAGUGUACGUCAAACGCGAGGAGCUAGAAGCAUAACAGCACGAGGUUAGCGCGGCUGCUGGGUUAGUGUAGCUACUGUGGAAUUAAGCGCAGCCGCCUUGGAGGUAACACAGCUAAGUUGGAGUUACCAUAGCACCGUGGUGGCAUAAGCGCAGUUACCUUGGAGAAAGUGCAGCUACAGUGGAGUUAGCGCAGCUACAUUGGAGUUAGCGUAUCUACAGUGGCGUUAGCUCUGCUGCUGUUGAGUUAGCGCAGCUACUGUGGAGUUAGCGUAUAUUAGCGCAUAUCAGCACCAUCCAAGAGCAGCUAAGCCCGGCUGCCUCGGUGUGAAGUCUGGUGUCUGGUGACACUGGAAACAUGUCGGCUAUAGAGUUGGCGCCUGCACCGCCACUCAUCCUCAAUUAAAUCCACCACCGCACACACGUGUACGCACACACACUCACAUACACACACACACGCACACACUCACACACAGCCAAAAGACGCACGUGACGCGACAAGCACACACACAAAAAACACAUGCAACACACACGCAUUAAUCUUUAUCAUUCUUUUAGAUUACUUCAUGCCGGUAAUAUUAUCAAUGUGCACAUUGAAAUCUAAACCAAACAAGGCCCAUUUAUGGCAAGUUGCACCAGCUGAUAUGAGGCUUCUGAAAGGGCAUCACAUACCAGCCAGGUCCCUGGACAGACAGACAGGUAGCCAGAUAGACAGGCAGACUGCCAAGUAGACAGACAGACAGACAGACAGACGGACAGACAGGUAGACAGACAGACGGACUGACAGAAAAAUAGGUAGACAGACAGGCAGACGGGUAGACAGACACAUAGACAUGCAAGCAGGCAGAAACACAGACAGACAGACAAACUUUCCACUAAUUGUAAGCACCCAGGAGAUGAUUAGCAGGAACAACUCGUGACUUCCACGGGGGGGGUGACUGCUCGGUUACUGUAACAUGGAAACUUCCGUCCCGUGUUAAAAUGUCCAUGAAUAUCCAAUCGACUCGUGUCCGCCAUUUGAGGUGCCCCCUUACGCCACCAGAUUAGCCAUUCGAAGCCAUAACGCAAUCUGCCCUCUAAUGACCUCACACACGGGUGGGUCCGCCCGGAUGCAUGACGGACAGAGUAGCCUGACGGUUGGUUCAGUCCAUCAGGUAGGCCGGUGGGCGGUGGCUCAUUCCAGUCGUCAUCCACAGCACACACGCCCGUGUGUGAUGUCACUAGUGGGUCGAUUUCGAAAUGGCUUCUAGUGGCUAAUCAACAUCACACCUGGUGGAAAAAAACAUUUAGGGCAUUUAGCAGACGCUUUUUAUCCAAAGCGACUUACGAUAAGUACAUUUGUCAGAAGAAGGAGAAACAAUAUAUCGCUAUCAUUACAGUGAGGAGGUUCAUAGAAUCAUGCCAAGCACUAAAAGUUGUUAGUUUAACCUACUCUGAUGUGCCCUCACCAUGAUGUACAACAAAGAUAGAAAGAGAAGAGGUGUGACUUUGAAAAUAGGUGCCCUUUAAAGGUCCCUCAUACAAUCUGAAAUGGAAGAGAUGCCAAGUGUUGGAUCCUGUCAGAUGCGUUGCAAUGAGAAAAUGGGUUCUGGGAAACAAGAAAGUAUAAUGUUUUAAAAAAUACUUCAUCAGACAAGAAUAUAAGGGAUGGGAAGUCCUGUUUGAUUGGAUUUGCUAGUUGAUGUUGUCUCUUUGCUGUGCACUACAUUACUGCAGAAUUACCCCAAGAAUACCCACUCCCACAUACACUAUCUCCCUUGUCUGAGCUUGUGGACCUUAAAAGACACACUCACAGCCGCACAGAUAACACAACAUGACACGUGCACCAAAGAGCCUCAUAACCUUUUACAUAAGACUCCUUUGGUGGGCGUUUCCCGCUCAAUGAAACACACAUUCACACACACAUCCACGCGCACACACACACACACACACACACACACACACACACACACACACACACACACACACACACACACACACACACGCACACACACGCACACAAAGCACACAAAGAUUACACACACAUACAUACAUAGAACACACACAUAAACAUACACACACACACAC